rnacentral:rRNA from 1 species
UACGGGGGGGGCAAGCGUUGUUCGGAAUUACUGGGCGUAAAGGGUUCGUAGGUGGCCAACUUAGUCAGACGUGAAAUCCCUCAGCUUAACUGGGGAACUGCGUCUGAUACUGGAUGGCUCGAGUGCAGGAGAGGAACGCGGAAUUCCAGGUGUAGCGGUGAAAUGCGUAGAUAUCAAGAGGAACACCUGCGGCGAAGGCGGGUUGCUGGGCCGACACUGACGCUGAGGCGCGAAAGCUAGGGGAGCAAACGGG